UCCGGCCAUAUCUCGUCGAAACAUCAAUUCUCGUAACAUCACCGAAGUUAAGCAACGUUAACCCUGGUCAGUACCUAGAUGGGUGACCGCUUGGAAAUGCCAGGUGCUGUAAG